GACACAGGGCCCAGUCUGCCCGCUCCAGCCCCCCUGCUUGGUGCAUCAGGCAGGGAGGGGCCUAUGGACCCCCGGACUAGGGAGGUGAGCUCCAAGCCCCGACUCUGCUCCCCAUAUACAGGGCCUGGGGGGCCUGCAGCCGCCUCACCACCCUGGGGUGGAGGUGGGGGGGAGCAGGGGGCUGGAACAGCCCUGUUUCCCCUCGUGUCCCCCGAGUCCCAGCCUCCAGGCCCCCACUCUCCUGCCCCUUCCCCAGAAGCCCCCCUGACCCCCCAGCCACCCCUCUCCUGCCCUCGCCGUAUUCCGCACGGCCUCAGCACGACUUGAAGUUUCGCUGUCAUCGUGUGGCCCGGCGCGCCCUGGGGACGUCAGCUCUGCCUCUGCCAUGUUCCCACGGGACCCCAGCCCCAGGGCCGGCCUUGGCACAGAGCCAAGGGACCCCGGCUCCUCCCUGCUGUCCCCCACACAGGGUGCCCUCCACAGCUCCCCGACACUCUCUCCCGGGGCCCCAUGGCGGUGGUGGCAGAACCCUUGGCAACGGCUGGCCGAGGCCCUGUCCUGGGGACACCUGGGUCCCACCCUGGUUGGCAGUGCCAGAGAAGGUUCUGGAAAGUCUCUCCUGGCCCACAAGGACUCGUGGGAGCUCUUCCUGACCCCUGGAACCACAACCCUGACCCCACACCUUCUGUGCCUGCAUAAAUCGGCUUCCACCUCCUCACUGUGGGUGCCCCCAGCCUCCACGUCCCCAUUCAGGGUGCUGACCCGCACUCCGGGCCCACAUGGCACCAGAGUCCUGCCCUCGGUGUCCCCAGCUGUGGACCCCCCUCCCCGCACUCUGCCCGGGGCUGGGCAUGGGGGCUGCUCCGUCUCCCCGAGGCCCAGAUGACUGGCCUGAUGCCAGCGGGCAGCCCUGAGGUCCAGAGAUCACUGCCAAGGCCCAGGAGCCUGUUUCCGCCCCAAGCCCCCCAGAGGAAGCCAGGGGGCUGGCCCCUCUGUCCCUUGGCUGCUUGGCAGUCCAGCAGCUGCACAGGACGGGGGUCCUCCCCAGGCCCCCAGCUCCCCGGGCCCCGCUCACUCUUGGCCCGCUCGCUCUUGCGGGACGGCCGCCAGCGGAUGCAGGAGCGGUGCUCGUCCAGGAGGUAGAAGCGGGGCAGCCCCUUGGACGAGCCGCGGAGCUUCAGCAGCUGCGUCCCGGCCUGCAUGGCGGCCAUGCACCGCUCCACUGGACACGCGGACAGACAGACAGACAGAGCGCAUGGUGAGUGCUGUGGCAAUGCCGCCACACUGCAGCCUGCACCCCCUACCCCCCCUGCCCGCACUCUGGGUGAGAGGCCAGCAGGUCCUGGGUGCAGGGCAGGGUGCAGAGGCUGCCCGCCCCCCACAUCCCCCCCAUCCGCCCGCCCAACCCAGGGGGCCGAGGCCAGAGCCCCAGGGCUGCUGGUCGCCCCCAAGGAGCCGGCCCGGGAUGUGCCUGGGUCACACGUUCAACCUGGGGGCCCUGCCCCACAGUCAGGCACCCCCGAGACACCCAGAAAGUCUGCCCGGCUGGGCCCGAGCCCACCUCCCCUGGUGACCCUGGGACUGAGGGCCUGGCGGGUCUCAGAGAGGACCCUGCCCGCCCCAGCCCUGCCAUCCCACCCUUCGCCUGCUCCCGGACCAGCCCUCAGUGCCCCUGCCCCUGCCCCAGCUGCGAGGGGCCGUGGCUCGGCCUGAGCAAGCAGCCAAGUGUGCACAGCAGGUGGCCAUGACGCACGGCGGGGUCAGGGAGGGGCGGCCGGCGGGGUCUCUCGGGCGCCCCCACCGUGCCAGCCCUCUGGGCCUUCUGCCCCUGCUCGGAGGCAUCUUCAGAAAGCCACCCCCGCCCGACACACAAGGGCAGGUGGCUCCCACGUUCCUCCCCAGGACCCCAGCAGGGAGGACGCAGAGGGGUGUCUGAGAGCCACGGCCAGCACAGGGACCCGACCCGGGGGCUCCGGGACCACCCCUCCCCCAGGCCCACUGCCGCUCCCUCCUCCCACGGCCAGGGAGGCUGCAGGCUCGGGCAGUCCAGGCCAGGGUCAGACAGGUCCCAUCCCAGGGACACAGGCCCCCCGCCCAGGGACAGACUUUGCCCCCGGCCUGCUCACUGGGAGCCCAGUACACGGAAGGUCCUGUCUGCUGAAGGCCCAGAGCGCCACACCCUGCGAAGGCCACGCGGUGGGUGACCCCGGGUGAGCACUGCCAAGGGCCUGCCCCCUUCUUACCCAGCCAGCCGAGCUGCCACCGUGGACACAGGGCCACGCUCCCGCCGACCCGGAGCAGUGCCUCCGCCAGGCAGACCACCGUGCCCUCUGCCCAGCCGCCAGACACAGCCAUGCCGGACCCCUCCCCACUGGUCCUCGACGGGUCAGCGGGGUGGGCAUGGGGUCCUGCCCGGCCUCUUCUCCCCUCCUCCUCCUCCCGCUCUCCCGUCCUGGCCCCCUGCAGCGUCCGGAAGGGGCAACGUCCCUGCGAGGCCCGUGGGGGAGGGGGCCGCACGGCCUCGGCACUAAUCCGAGCUGGAGCCGGCCCAGCUGCUCAGAGGAUUUAGGCCGAGGGGACUCCAGCCGGGGACCCGGGAGGGGACGGGAGGCGGCCACGCUGUCAGGAGGCCCCGGUCCCAGGGCCGUGCUUGGCCCCUGCCAUGACCCAGUGGACAAUGCCAAGCGGGAAGAUGGACCCCUAGGGUUGCUGCCCCGUCCCCCCAGUGCAGCCAUGAUGGUUAAGCCCCGGUCUGGGGUGGGGCGGCCCCAUGGACCCCAUCCACAAGUCCAUUGUCGAUCCCCUGGGAGGCGGGAACCCGCCCCCUCCAACCAGAGCCCAGAUGAGGCGCCCCUGCUCCCUCCCUUCCCCCUCACCUACAGGAACCAGCGGGGGGGUGGGGGGCAUCCCCAGAGUCCGACAAGGGGACAGAUGCAGGGCGUGGGUCCCCAGCCCUCUGGGGGAGAGUGACCAAGCUGGGGAGGGGGCUCAGGCCUUGCUGUCAGCUGACUCCCAGCACGGCCCAGGGACAGGGACCCCAGGGCCUGGGGACACACUCUGGUCCCCUCACCCCCAUGAGUCCUGGGCUGGGUGUCUGCUGCCCCCAAGGUGACCUCCCAGUGCCAGCCUCUCCCCACAGAGGGCCGGGCUGGACUGUGGCCCCGAGCGUGUCGGCUCCUGGGCCCUCCGGGGGCCACCUGGGCCUCAGGGAGGGCGGGACAGGGAGAGCCAGCGGGCAGCGCGGAGCCCCCUGCGGGCAUCCCACCCACACAGUCAUGGCAGCCGCAGCAUAGAGGACUCGGUCCGGGCCCCAAGGACCCCCACGGUCCCACCCCACUGGGCAGCAGCUGGCCGACUUCUCCUGGGAGCCAGGCAGGGGCCCCAGGGCAGCCUGAGGGCAGUGGGUGGUGGGCUGCAGGCGGUGGGCAGUGGGCCCUGGAUUGGGCAGACCUUGGUGUGGACAUUGGCACCCGCUUACCAGCUGAGCCCAGAGCGAGUGCCCCGUGUGUCCCCAGCCUCGUUCCCGGUGAGAGUAUCCCAGCAGUGACCUCCACCACCCUGAGCUGCUCCCAGGCCCGGCCAUCGCUCUGGCACCACCACGGGGUCCAAGGUCGCCGGGGAGGGGGGAGCCGGAGGUGGGGGGAAGUGAGCACGACGGGCACGGUGGGCUGACCUCAGAGAACCGAGAGCCCACCCCCGCUGGACCCCAUGUCAGGGCGAAGCCAAACCCCAGCCGUGAACGGCUUCAUGGCGGAGGUGCCCAGGCGGCUCCCACCCAGGCCCAGACGAGGCAGGGCCUGGCCCCAGGCGGCACCCAGGUGGAGAAGCCCCCCAGCCCCCAGCCCCACCCUCCACGGGCCUCCCUGCCCGCCCCGGGUGUGCCCACCCUGCCCACCGGCCGAGCCCUCACCCCGCUCACCCCGGGCCCCCGCCAUGGCCCGUCCGGCUCCUUCCACAAAGACCCGUCCGGAGCCGACACACCUGAGGCCCACGACACUCAGGUGGGAAGGAGCAGCUGCACCUGAGAGGCUGGCCCCGCAGGGGGCGGGGGGUCCGAGAGGGAGGGACGUGCCCCGGCUCCCGCACAGACGGACAGAGGGACGGGCAGGUCCCUGAGCCCACCACAGUGUCCUGGGAGCGUCCUCGGCUCCACCGUCGGAGGCAGGGCUGCUCGGGAGGACGGGCACCGUCGGAAGCCGCCGCAGUGUGGGCUUGAUUUUGUUUUUAUGCCGGAGACGGAUCUUGUCCUAACACCGCCGGCAACGGGGCGCUCACCGCCAUCAGCGAGAGCUGCCCGGGAAGGCUGGAAAAUCAGUUUCAUCCUCCAUCCAAACCCACAGCUACACGCCCGGGCUCCCCGGCACACGCAGACACACACGGGGUGCCCUCCUUCAGCAACCGGGGGGGACAGGACCCGGGGGGCACACGGGGCUCGACCCCAGCAGCUUCUUCCCUGUCCCAGUUCUUCCCCGCAAGGGCCCUUCUCGCCUCCCGCUCACGGCCGCAGGGGGUCUCCGGCCCAGCCCCCGGGGCGCUCCCCCAGGGCGCCAUCAGCCGGCUCCUGCCCCCGGGACGUGCCCCCCACGGGGCCCAGCUCAGCAGGCAGCGGGUGCUCAGCCCCCGGAGGGGUGGGGGAGACAGAGGGAGCGGCCCUGCCCCUGCCGCCAGCCGGGGAUUGGGGUUCACUGCGCCCCCCGGGCCCGGCUGCUGGGAGGGUCGGGGUGGGGAACGGAGGGGCGUCACGCACACGGCAGGGAGCAUCGCGACGUCUGCGAGAAGCAGCUGGACCCCCACGGCUCUGUGCACCUGCUCCCCAACUAUUUUUGUUUCAUCAGACACUGAGUCGGCGCCCACAAGCCCUCCCCCAGGCAGGACCCCAGGGUGCCCAUGCCCUGGGCAGGGAGCUGGGCCGGGGCAGUUGGGGAGGGGGCUCUCGGCCAGGGCGGCCUUUUCCUCGGGCCGGGCCCUCUCCACGCGGCCAACAGCUCGAGCUUUCAGCAGCACGAUCAGCGUCCGGUGGGUGGUCCUGAGCCCACGGCACUGCCAGCUCAGCAGCCACGGGGGCCGCCCUGUCCCACCAGAACACACA